ACGAACGCUGGCGGCGUGCUUAACACCUGCAAGUCGAACGGGUCUGCCCUGUUUUUUGCGGGGUGGGUCAGUGGCGAACGGGUGAGUAACACGUGAGUAACCUGCCCCUCACUUCUGGAUAACCGCUUGAAAGGGUGGCUAAUACGGGGUGUUCUGGCUGUGCCGCAUGGUGUGGCUGGGAAAGAUUCACUUUUGUGGUGUUUUGGUGGGGGAUGGGCUCGCGGCCUAUCAGCUUGUUGGUGGGGUGAUGGCCUGCCAAGGCUUUGACGGGUAGCCGGCCUGAGAGGGUGGGCGGUCACACUGGGACUGAGAUACGGCCCAGACUCCUGCGGGAGGCAGCAGUGGGGGGUAUUGCACAAUGGGCGGAAGCCUGAUGCAGCGACGUCGCGUGAGGGAUGGAGGCCUUCGGGUUGUGAACCUCUUUCGCCGGUGAAGAAGGUCCUGCUCUUUGUGGUGGGGUUGACGGUAGCCGGGUUAUGAAGCGCCGGCUAACUACGUG
rnacentral:rRNA from 1 species